UUUUUUUUUUUUCUUUUUCUGAGACAGUACCACACAUUCCAAGUGAUCAGCCAUGGCAGCUACAGUCCACAGCAUGAAACAGCAACAGCAUCUUUCUGUACAGAGAGCCUAAUGAAGAGAAAUUAUCUUUAACUUGCUCCUAUGAAUUCAUAUACGCAUCGUGUGAUUAGUGCUUUACAAAUGGAGACCAGUUUUGGAAAACUGCAGAUAAUAACAUGAUGAACAGCAAGUUGCAGAAAAUAAUCCAAUUUUUAAAAUUGUAUGAUAAAGCCUUUAAUAAUAAUGUUACAGAGGGGUUGUGCAAACAAGGGUAGCAAAACCUGACCUUGUGUAAAGCAAAAAGUAACUACAAAAGAGGGAACUUAAGUACUAGAAUUGCAGUGUGCAAAAAACCAUUGACUUUGAGAUACACAUAUUUAUGCACUUUACAGACUCAUUCUCAGUGCAUCAGUGUUGGAGAGUUUAUUGUAAAAAUGUGUUUAAGAGGAAGCAGAAAUUAAGGGUAAGCAGCUGGUACACAGAACAGAUGUUCCACACCUGAGCACAUGAGAGAGUGUGGUGACAGACAUGACACUUAUUGAAAAUAGGGGAGGCAAACAGCAGAAACUAAAGAUGAACAUUAGUACUAAGACCAAGGAAUUCAAGCUCAAUAAUCCAAGUAAAAGGUUCGGAAUUCAGAAGUGACUUACUCAUUUUGGGGCAGAUUGGUUUUCUCUCUUUUAUGCCCCUGUAUAAAUGGGAACCUGUCAGUCAGAAUCAGUUCAGAAGUGCACAACCCAUGUUUGCAAGUGCUCCCUGCUAAUUAACAUAAACUUUCUCUGAUAUAAGUAGUUUGAGAUUCUUCUGAUAUCAGAAAAUCUUUUAACAGUGGAUUUUGAUUGUGACACAAGCAUUUGUGAUCUCUAAAUCCUUUCUCUGUUUGAUCCCCUCCGGGGAAAUAUGUACGCCCCAUGUAUUUUUAUUUAUCACAGCAAGGGUGAUUUGUCUAGAAUGGAUAAUUACAGAAUAACAUGGCCACAGGGUGUUCAGGUGUUUCUUUUAACUUGGGUAAAGGCUUCCUACCUCAAUGUUAUGGGAACAGCCUGUCCUUUCAUGUGACACUUGGCUCAUGUCACAAGUAUGUAUGAAAUGUCUACUUCAGGAAUGGUUUUGAGAACUCAAAGAUAAAAGGUCAUAGCUAAAGCAUCUAAGUUUUUAUUUUCUUUGAAGUUUUAAUUCAUCAGCAAAAAUCUGUCAAAUAGGAGUACAAGCUUUUUUUCCCUAUUUUUCCUGGCUUGACUUUCCAGUGCAUCAACAUUUUAGAAAAACAAAGUAAACAGGGAAGACAAAAACAGGCUGCCUGCAAUUUCUUCAAAGUGUAGUCAGUAUCCACAGCUCUUUGUGCCAUGAUUUUCCUUGGAGAAUUUUGGGCAGGAGGCAUUGAAAGGAUUUUAUGAACAUCAGUCCAUUUAAAUGCAGCCCCAGGGAGAUGGGGAAGCACUGUCCCCCCUCAGCAGAUGGAGAUCACUGAAAAAGAGGCCAAAUGGUUUGCCCAAAGAUAUCCAAGUUAGCAGGCUGAAAGUCUGGGGAUGUUUAGAAAGCAGGACAUGAAAUAAACAUACCAGAAAGGAAAAAAUAAGAAGCAGUAAGAGGCUAUUUUCCAGAAAAAAAAAUAUUUUUGGCAGAUUAAUGGUAUCUCCAGGAUAAACAGAGGAAGCACAUUAAUGGAAAACUUCAUCAAAAUUGGAUAAAAUGCAAAUAAUCUAAUAUUUCUGAUAAAUUAUGCUUCGACUGAUUUUCUAAGAGGAAUUUCAAAUGAAUGUGGAAUGUUCUUUCAUAUUCUAAAGUGCUUUUCCAUCAUCUAUUAUAGAAUUAAUUUAAGAUUUAUUCACUGCUAAAAUAUGAAGUCCUUAAAGAAAAAUAAGAACAGAGAAAGCCUUGGAGGUCUUCAGAAAUAAGUUUAUCUUUGUACCGGUAUCAUCAUCACUUUUAAACUGACAAUCUGUAAUGAUUCCUACAUAUGGCAGGCUGGAAUUCCACUCAAACUGAACCAUCAGAGUUUUUGGUGUAUUUUUUUUUUAUUGUCCUUUUCAUACUGAGACAGUAGUUUCCUGCCAUCCUUUCUGGUUUUAGGUUACAGUGGCCCCUUUUGUUUCAGCUAAAUGGAGAUGUAGGGACUUGCUGUGAUCCAAGCACAAAGGAGAAGAGCUUUGCCUUAAGCAGAAAGAUUGAGCCCAAUCUGCAGUGAAGGAAUUCUGUUACCUCUCCCUUUACCUGUACAGGAACUUGCAAGACACUGGAAACUUGCACAUCAAAAUAAACACAAUGUGACAGAUCUUAAAACCAGCAGUUUUUAAUUAAAAAAGGCAAAGUGAUAGGAAAUACUUGUUGUCUUACUCUGCAUCUCCUAAGGGACCUUUAUUCAUUUUGUUUCUAAAAAGAGCAUCAGCAGAGAUUUGUAGAAAAAUAUAGGGCUGCCUAUCACCUACCAGCUUCCACUUCAAAAUGAGUAAAAUAAAGCUUAAAAGCAAAGCUUGGUGUGUUUUUGCCAAAGCUCUGCAAGAGGUAUUAUCUUUAUCAAAACAAAGAGAAUGAUUACAACUUACUAAGAGGGCUUCUUCCGGUUACUUCAGCUAGGAAGGACUCAGCUUAAACUGGAAUUUGUGAGUGAAAAGGAAUAAUUUACUCCAACUCAAUAUUUGUAGAAGCACAUCUGGAGGAAGAAAGGGUCAUUCCCAUUGUGGGAGGAAGCUACAUCCAGUUUCAUGCUCACUGUUCUAUUUCCAAUACUGGAGGGCUGCUAUUUCUGCCAAAGCACACAAUAUUCCAAGCCAGCAACUGGUAGGAAAACACAUGGUGGUAGAUCAAGGCCACUGACUGUGCAACUAGGGAAUAUGCUUUCACAAGUGGAAGAGAGUCAGCUAUGGCCUAGAAAUAAAUCUUAAAACCCUCAACUCAUCCCUGUGAUAUAACAAAAUAUAACCAAAACAAUUUUUUGCAUCUGCAGUUUAUUAAUUUUAAAUUUUCAUCAUUGUUUUGAAAAGAGAGAAGGAAGACCUCAUGCUAAUUCAGUAUUUCGAUUGUCUCAUAGCUUCUAUGAAAGUCUCAGUUCUCACUGCAUCUCUUGGAACAUCUGUCCUGAAGAUGUAAGCACUGGAGCAGUAAAAAUGGCACAAUAAAUAUAUAGCAAUGUAGUGAAGUUGACAAGAACAAUCUUCAUCAAGAAGAUUCAAACUGCAAAGAGGAACAAAACAUUUCUGCAAGUUUCUGGCCCUUUCAUAUCAAUCCACAUUGUGAACCCUUAGCAGAUUCCAGAUUAAGAAAUGCUUUGGCAGUUUUUGGUAAAGAUGGUAGAACUAAUGAUGAGACUUGAUUGGCAGGAAAGGCUGAUGUGUUCCUAAGUAUUUGCUAAAGGUCUGGGGUAUUCCAGAAGACAAAAUUACUGAUUUGAUACAACACUUCUUACUAAAUGACUGGCCAAGCUUUAAGUGAAUAGCAGUUUAAUGUCUCCCAUUUCCAUCGGACUGUGAAGGGGAAGAAAGAAUAUUUCAGCUUGCGAUGUGAAAGCUGACACAGAGCUGUCAGACAUUUCCUUUCAGCUAAUCCUCCCUAGGAAAUACAGUGUGCGAGCUCUGAAUUCCCUGUGAGUUUAUUGAUCUCACUUUUGCCACAUAAACAAGUGACAUCAGCCUUGCGGAUCUGUCACCACAAAGUAAAAUGGCAGCUCCUCGUAUUCUCCUCGUAUGCAGGAGGGUUGGUUUCUUUGUUUGAACUGAAUGAGCACAAAAUGCUGAAGGUGCCUCAGCAGAUCCAGAGUGCAACAGCUGCCAGGAUGUGACCCUUCCCUCAGUCAUUCACAAACUGAAGACAACCUCAUGGAAGAGCUGUUUAUAAAUGCCCAUUUUUGUAUAAUGAGUGCAGGUCACUCAGUGAUGAAGUAGCUCAUGACAUUUGUUUUAGCUACAGUUGACAACACAGUGCUAAAUUGACUAGAGCUAAUCCAACACCAAUGUACUUGGACAUGCAGAUGUGAAAGAAGUAGCAUCCUGAAUAUUUAAAUGGAAAUGUCAAGGCAGUCACAAAUACUGCACCACAUUAGCAUGACUAACACCAUUUGUUAUCUAGAAUUAUGGAAAAAAGUCCUCAUUCCUGAGCAUAAUACUUUGUGUAGCCUAUUAGUACUUAUUGAGUAUCUUCUGUCUGCUUUCAUUCUUUGGCCAGACUGCUCAUUUAUCAGGAGCUCUGUGCAGCCAAGAUACUCGGGGAGGCAGCCCUGCACAGGCUGCCCAUACAUCAUGGAACCCAUUAACCAUGCACAUUUCUUUCCCUGGCUCCAAAUGAGCUGCACCAAUUUGUUACACAAGCUCGCCCGUGGGAGUGAAAGGUAUAUACAGCAGCCUAGUGCCAAAUAUAUGUAGCUCAAUUACAACAAGUAGGACAAUACAAUUACACAAAUAUGGGGGAUAAUUAAUUGCUUGGAGAAUAUGCCUUCAGACAUGAACUGUUCUCCCAGUACCAGAGCAGAGCACAAGCAGAUGGACAAUAAAAUGCAAAUAUAAGCAUCUUUAGUGUAAUUCCACAUUUCAGUUUAUGAUAGGUGCAUUUCUUUGGGGAAACUGAGUCUAAAACCCUCUGACUCCACCUUACACCAAAAACAGAGCAACAAAACCACUUGUCAGCAUUGUCUUAUUAACUCAAAGUUGCUUUGAAGAACAGUCCAUGACAUAACUGCUGAAUGACCUCUCUCUCAGACACAAACACUAAACAGUUGGCUACUUCUAUUAUUUCCUCAGUUCCCAAGUUUGCUGCAGAGCUUUUUAAUAUGAACCAAGAAAACUGUUCUUUAGAAACUGUUUUAUUCACACCCUUACAAAAAAUAGGUCCUUUCUAAUAAUCUUUUUGAAUUAUAUUCUGCAAGGUGUUUUUCCCAAUAUUUGAUUUUGUUAGCUACUGUUCCUAGGCAAAAGAUUUAUCCUUUGACUUCUUGAACAUUUUCUGGGUGUUUGUUUUCAUUACAUUGCAAUUUCUGUUUGUGAAGUUGGUUUCAAGGCAGCACAGUUCAAUUUGGGAAGCACAAUGUGCUCACAGGGGUGACAUUCCUUCUGAGGGCUUCAUAUCCAGCUACUCCUCUCUCCUCCAAAGGCCUUUUGCCCUGUGCUGUUUAUGUAGUUUCUUGGUUUCAGUUCUGUUGCCUUUUUCAAAUAUGCUCUUUCAUUAUGCAGGAGAGACAGGCAGCCCAGAACUUGCACACCAAGGAUGUGCUCAGGGAGGGUCCCAGGAGAUGGGACUGAGUUGCCCCCUCACACAAGACCCUCACACAGCCCUACCAAUGGUCCCACAUGGCACUGCCCACCUAGCUCCUCUCCCAGCCCACCUGCCUGCCAAGAAGCCACUCCUGGCACGUGUUAAACUAACAAAUACUGAGGGUCACUGAGUAAUGAAGCUCCAGCCACCAAUGCCCUUCGUGCAGGUGCCAUGCACACACAUCUCAGACAGUACUCCUAGAGAGACCAGCUCUAAACUUGCAAAUAAAUUUUGCAGUCUUCCAGCUUAAAACAGUAAGACAGAAUUAUAAUUAUUUUUCCCUGCUAAAAGCUACAUCUUAACAAAUGGAUUACAAAACAGACACCAGAGUUUAUUCUAUUUCUAAUGCAAACUGAUAAGAGGCAUAGGAGAUAGUUCUUGUAUUCCUUACAAGGAAGAAGAGGAAGGAAUUCUGGCAAUUUUUAAAAGAUACCCACAUUUUCAAAAGAUUGAGCCUAUAUAACAAGAAAAACAUGGUGUGCUA
ensembl:lncRNA